AGAUAUAAGGGUGUUAUAGUUGCAAUAUGCCACUUCACUGAUCAUCAGGAUGGACUGGGCUCCUGUGGCUGCAUAGGCAGAUGCCCCUCCCUCUCUCUUCACUCCAUACACAUUCCUCCUGAAACAGCACCGCUGGUCCUAAAGGAUGACUGUCCCUGGUAGAGGAAAGUCAUUCUGCUUCCAGAGUAUAACAGUAGCUGCACUUUGCUACUAGAAACUGCAAACAAGCCCUCCAGACAUCAACACUUAGUAGUGGUCUAGGACUGGCUAAGAGACACAAGACACAAGCUAUCUAUUUAGUAUAGAAUA
ensembl:misc_RNA 7SK 7SK RNA